UGAAAGUCUACUGAAAGUUAUUCUCUCUGCUUUUUUAACUUGUUUUUAAAAAUUUAUUCUGAUUUGUUAUACAUCAUGGCAGCAUGCAAUUUAUUUCAUACAUACAGAACACAAUUUUUCAAGACUCUGAUUGUAGAUAGAAUAUUUUCACACCACUCAUGUCUUAUGCAUGUACUUAGGGUAAUGAUGUCUAACUCAUUCCACCAUCAUUCCUACCCUCUUGCCCCCUUCCUUCCCCACCUUCCACUUUGCCCUAUCUAAAGUAUCUCCAUUCUUCCCAUGCUCACCCCCAAUCACCAUUAUGUCUGUGUCCUCAUAUCAAAGAAACCAUUUGGCUUUUGGUUUUUUGGGAUUGGCAUGCUUAACUUAGCAUGAUAUUCUCCAACUUCAUCCAUUUACCUGCAAUUGCCAUGAUUUUAUUCUCUUUUAAUGCAGAUAAUCUUCCAUUGUGUAUAUAUAUACCAAAGUUUUCCUAUCCAUUCAUCUACUGAAGGGCAUCUAGGUUGGUUCCACAGUUUAAAUAUUGUGAAUUGUACUGCUAUAAAAACUCAUAUGGCUGUGUCCCUGUAAUAUGCUAUUUUUAAGUCCAUUGGGUAUGAACUGAGGAGUGGGAUAGCUGGGUCAGAUGAUGGCUCCAUUCCCAGUUUUCCAAGGAAUCUCCACACUGCUUUCCAGAUUGGCUGUACCAAUUUGCAGUCCC
rnacentral:lncRNA from 1 species